rnacentral:tRNA from 1 species
UUAAUUGAAGCUAAAGUUGAAGCUUUCCACUGUUAAUGGAAAAAAUGGUUUUUAACCCAAUUAAA